GAUGAACGCUGGCGGCGUGCCUAAUACAUGCAAGUCGAGCGAACGGACGAGAAGCUUGCUUCUCUGAUGUUAGCGGCGGACGGGUGAGUAACACGUGGAUAACCUACCUAUAAGACUGGGAUAACUUCGGGAAACCGGAGCUAAUACCGGAUAAUAUUUUGAACCGCAUGGUUCAAAAGUGAAAGACGGUCUUGCUGUCACUUAUAGAUGGAUCCGCGCUGCAUUAGCUAGUUGGUAAGGUAACGGCUUACCAAGGCAACGAUGCAUAGCCGACCUGAGAGGGUGAUCGGCCACACUGGAACGGAGACACGGUCCAGACUCCUACGGGAGGCAGCAGUAGGGAAUCUUCCGCAAUGGGGGAAAGCCUGACGGAGCAACGCCGCGUGAGUGAUGAAGGUCUUCGGAUCGUAAAACUCUGUUAUUAGGGAAGAACAUAUGUGUAAGUAACUGUGCACAUCUUGACGGUACCUAACCAGAAAGCCACGGCUAACUACGUG
rnacentral:rRNA from 1 species